AGCGGAGGAAAAGAAACUAACAAGGAUUCCCCUAGUAGCGGCGAGCGAAGCGGGAAAAGCUCAAAUUUGUAAUCUGGCGUCUUCGACGUCCGAGUUGUAAUCUCGAGAAGUGUUUUCCGUGAUAGACCGCAUACAAGUCUCUUGGAACAGAGCGUCAUAGUGGUGAGAACCCAGUACACGAUGCGGAUGCCUAUUACUUUGUGAUACACUUUCGAAGAGUCGAGUUGUUUGGGAAUGCAGCUCAAAUUGGGUGGUAAAUUCCAUCUAAAGCUAAAUAUUGGCGAGAGACCGAUAGCGAACAAGUACCGUGAGGGAAAGAUGAAAAGCACUUUGGAAAGAGAGUUAACAGUACGUGAAAUUGUUGGAAGGGAAACACAUGCAGUGAUACUUGCUAUUCGGGGCAACUCGAUUGGCAGGCCCGCAUCAGUUUUUCGGGGCGGAAAAUCGUAGAGAGAAGGUAGCAGUUUCGGCUGUGUUAUAGCUCUUUACUGGAUUCGCCCUGGGGGACUGAGGAACGCAGCGUGCUUUUAGCAUGAGCUUCGGCUUAUCCACGCUUAGGAUGCGGGUUUAUGGCUGUAUAUGACCCGUCUUGAAACACGGACCAAGGAGUCUAACAUGCUUGCGAGUAUUUGGGUGUCAAACCCGGAUGCGCAAUGAAAGUGAAUGGAGGUGGGAAGCGCAAGCUGCACCAUCGACCGAUCUGGAUUUUUUAAGAUGGAUUUGAGUAAGAGCAAGUAUGUUGGGACCCGAAAGAUGGUGAACUAUGCCUGAAUAGGGCGAAGCCAGAGGAAACUCUGGUGGAGGCUCGUAGCGGUUCUGACGUGCAAAUCGAUCGUCAAAUUUGGGUAUAGGGGCGAAAGACUAAUCGAACCAUC
rnacentral:rRNA from 1 species